rnacentral:rRNA from 1 species
UAGUGAAUCUUCCGCAAUGGACGCAAGUCUGACGGAGCAACGCCGCGUGAGUGAAGAAGGAUUUCGGUUCGUAAAACUCUGUUGUUAGAGAAGAACAGCGCAUAGAGUAACUGUUAUGCGUGUGACGGUAUCUAACCAGAAAGCCACGGCUAACUACGUGCCAGCAGCCGCGGUAAUACGGAGGUGGCAAGCGUUGUCCGGAUUUAUUGGGCGUAAAGCGAGCGCAGGCGGUCAAUUAAGUCUGAUGUGAAAGCCCCCGGCUCAACCGGGGAGGGUCAUUGGAAACUGGUUGACUUGAGUGCAGAAGAGGAGAGUGGAAUUCCAUGUGUAGCGGUGAAAUGCGUAGAUAUAUGGAGGAACACCAGUGGCGAAGGCGACUCUCUGGUCUGUAACUGACGCUGAGGCUCGAAAGCGUGGGUAGCAAACAGG